rnacentral:lncRNA from 1 species
AGCUUUUGGGGUUGAGUUAGGCCCAAGGUCCAUUCUUAUCAAAAAGCACUUUUGGUGUUUAUCAAACACCAAAGAUAAGAAAAAAAGUGCUUAAAAGCUAGUUUGACCAGCCUUUCAAGGGUGUUUGGAUAAACUUAGAAGCUGGUUUUAAGCACCUUUUGGCUUAUUUUAGUGUUUGGUAACACCAAAAGUGCUAUUAAGCUAAAUGUUUUUAUACCAAAACAAAUCAAAAGCCAUAAGCUGCACACACCAACAUGUCUUUUCAACUAAAAAGCUCCUUGUGUUUGAUUAAGUAUUUUACUUUGUUAACCCUUAUAAUUUAUUAUACGCCCAAUAAUACCCUUCACUAUAGCCUCUCUGCCCUUUCGGGCAGGGGUAAGGCUCGUCUACAUAUUGCCCUCCCCAGACCCCACCUGGUGGGGAUAUACUGGGUAGUUGUUGUUGUUGUUGUUGUAUACCAGAACCCCUAACUCUACUAUCGUUUCCUUUCCUUCUUGUGUGCCUGUCUCUCUGCUUAUUUCCAUCUCUGCCCACCGGGUUCACCACUGCCAUUGUAUCUCGUCAGUGUCAUCCCAUUCCUUUGCUGCCAUAUUUGACAAAUACAUUUGGAUUUAUUAGUUUCCUCAAAAAAACAUUUCUGAAACCCAGUAACUUUUAUAGGAUCAUUGUGAAAUCCAACUAAAAAGACCAGAAGCAGACUGGUGGUGAUUUUAUAUCUUCUGCCUGCAUUUGGAGGCAGGGAAGCAGGGAAGGAGAUCUAUUUUACCAGUAAAAUAGUUCCUUCAACGCCAAUUUUCUUUUGGCGUGAAGGGACAGUUGGGGAGGUAGGAAAGCUCAAAAUAGCUACGGAAAUUGCCUUUUUGGACCUUCAGUGAUUGAUAAACUAUGUUUUGGUACUCAUGAUAUCUUACUGAGAAAAUUUAACCUUCAAUUAAUUGUAAUGUGCAUCUUAAGUCCCUCCUGAACUAGACUCCAACUAAUUUCAUGUUUUACUCUUAAAACAUGUGAAUAUUAGUAUUACAUUUUGUACUAUGCCAAGUGGAGGCUAUAUUAGUGCUUAUGUUCCACAUAGAAAGGUGACAGUUGCAAACAAACUAUAUCCCCCUAAAUUUGCAGUAAAUAAAUAUCAAUAUAACCUCCAUGUAGCAUAGUAAAUGUAGGUACAUGGUCCAGUAGUUAAUAUUCUAUUGAAUUUGCGGGAGGCCAUCAAUCAAGAGAACAAAGUGGAUAUUUCAAUUACAUGGAAGUUAAAUAUUGCUUAGUUAGAUAUCACGAGAACCAACAACAAAAUCUGAAUGAAGGAACCAAAAGUGCAAAUUUCCCACGGAGGAAGGUGAUGUUUGAUCAAAAGAUAAAGGCAAAAGUCCUUAAUCCAGGACUGAAUGUGAAAUAGGUGAGCUAGAUGACCUUACUUCUCUCGGAUCAUGCAUACAUACACAACAACAACAACCUAGUAGAAUCCCACUUAGUGGGUUCUGGGGAGGGUAGUGUGUACGCAAACCUUACCCCUACCCGUGGGUAGAGAGGCUGUUUCCAAAUAAACCCCCGGUAUCCCUCCCUCCAAGAACUUUCCACCUUGCUCUUGGGGAGACUCGAACUCACAACCUCUUGCUGCUUACCAUCAGAGCAACCCCUCUUGUCGAUGGAUCAUGCAUACAUAAAUUAUCUCAAAAUUAGGGGUGGCAAUUUGAGCCAUGAGUAACUUUGCUAAAAUAUAUUUAAAAUAAUUUUUUUUGUUUGAUGUUAUAUAUGACCAUAAUAAAAGGAAAAAAAAAGUCUUAUUUGAUAAUUAAAAAAUUCAUACGAACACAACAUUAAUUAAAGCUGGGUAAGAAUUGGAUUGAUUGGGCUAUGACCUAAAUUUUAGCCCAACUUGAUCUAGCCCAUCUAAGCUCAAGUUACUUUUGGGUUGGUCGAUAACAUGCCCAUUCAUUGACUCAGACCAUUUUAAUCCGUCCAAAAUUACCAACUCGCCCAUUUAACACCCCUAGUCAAAAGCAAAGAAAUGUUUAUAAAAGACUGCAGAUCAGACCUAGUGAAGUGCUGAUAGAAGAUCUGAUAACACAAGAUAAUGGGAUCAGGGCCAGAAGCAGGACAAAUCCAGAAUGUUGAGCAAGUAGAGAUGGCAUACAGGUAUUUGUGAUUCUUUUUAUCAAAUGGCGUACUAGUUAUUUGUGAUUAUUCUAACAUGUUACGUUGCACAUUCUAAGACUAUAUCAUAGAAAUAUGUGGGAAAGGAGAGCAUAUCAUUGAAAUAACGGCAAUUUAAUAAGGUAUGCAUGAUUAGGAAAACACAUGUUUUGAAAAAUUGCAGCAGAAAGUGUAUCUGAUUCUGAUAUUUACUAAAACAUCAAUUAAUGCAUGCUUGUGUUGAAGACUACCAAUUUUAGUAUCUAAAAGGACUAGGGGUGUGCAUUCAAAUCGGUUUAUCGUUAAAUCGAAUCGAUUAUUUAUUAUCGGUUUAUCGAUUUAUCGAUUUUGAUUUCGAAAUUUUCCCUAUCGAGUUAUCGAUUUCGAUUUUGUCCUCUUCGGUUAUCGGUUUAUCGAUAAACCGAUAAGAUAUACUAAAAAAAAAUUACCUUAUUCUAUAAUACCCUUUCCUUUACCCUGAGUCUCUAACCCUAUUAUUUCAUCUACCACAUUUAAGGAAUAAUCAUAUUUAAAGCUCAAGGGAAUGAAGUUCAAAUUAAUGGAAAAUAGAAUUAGUAGUAAUGAUAUACUUUUGUUUUUUUAACAGCGUUGGAGUGUUGGUGACAUACAAUUGAUCCCUUACUUUAGUUUCGUUGCAUGUGCCAGAAUUAGCCGUGAUGAUGUAUUUUUUUCCUCCGUUGGAGUGUUGGUGGCAUACAUUUGAUCCCUUACUUUAGUUUCGUUGCAUGUGUUUGUUGACACAAUUUUUUAUGUUAUAAACGGUAUUCGUCUUAUUUUAGCUUCUUUUUGUCCAUAUUAGUUAGGUGUUUUCAGCUAUAGAUUUGUUAAUCCUCCUCUUCAUUUUCAAUAAGCCUGUACUCUAGCUGAUUUACGCACCAGCAAGUGAAGACCGAUAUAAUCUGCCUUAUUGAAAAUCCAUAAAUCGAAUCGAUAAGCCCCCAAAAUCGACAAAUCGAAAUCGAAAAAAUCCAAACCUUAUUGAAACGAUAACGAUAAGCAUAUGUACAAAUCAAUAAUCGAUAAGUAAUUAUCGAUAAGGGUCAAAAUCGAAUCGUAAAUCGAAUGCACACCCCUAAAAAGGACCCAAAAGAACAGAAUAGGUUGUCCCUUCAUGGAUUAGAAGAAGAACCAGUAAAUUUCUAAGUUUGAAAAAAGCUAAUAGAAAGACUUACAAUAAAAGAUCUCCUGUUUUAAUUUCAGUGCUGAGAAGGAGCAUCGCCAUUUCUUAAGCGAUUUACAAAGUUCAUCUUUUAUGGGCUUUGUGAUAUCCUACAAAAGGUAAGUGACGCUGAUAGAGUAUAAAUAUUAUCAAACUAUCAAAAAAAAGAACGAUUACCAAGUUUGUUGGCAAUAACAUCAGGUCAAGCAUAGUUUCUGAAUUGAAGCCAAUGUAUCAAACUUGGAAUCUAUUGGUUAAACUAGCAUGAAGGUUAACAAAAACAAGCAAAAAAGUAAAUGCAUUCCUUCAAAGUAACCGUUUUUCUUCUUCUUUUUUUUUUUUGAAUGGUAAAUGCUACUCAAAAGAACAUUUCUUGCAACAGAGAGAACAGAUGGAUAAGCAAGGAAAAGCAGAAUAGUAGCAAGUCUGAAUAUCUGACGUAUUUUAAGUCUCAUCUUACUGGAAGCAUAGAGAAUGGAUAGAAAGUACAGUGGAAGUAUGGAUCACCUGAUGAAAACCAGAGAUCAGUCUUAAAGAGAGUCUUUCAUAGCACCUGGCACGAAUAAUUCAAACUUAUCAUACCAUCAGCUAAUGUCUAAUGAUACAGGGAUCAAUUUAAAGGGCAAAGUGUUAAACACACACCAAUUCUCCAUCAAAAGGGCGGGAAUCUCCAAAAAAUCAGGAUCCAGGCGCAGCCCCGAGAAUUUGGCAAAUGACGCACAGUUGCAAAUGUGAUGUAUCUGAAGCAAAUACAUCAGUAAGAACACGUUUAGCUGUUCCGAAAAUUAACCCGGUGUGCGGAUGAGAUUUUACAUAGAGAAGUACAUAAGGUAAACAUUAUCAAUAUGGGUACCACAGCUGAAUGAUAAGCAUCUACAAAGUGGUUGCCCAUCAUAUUUUAGCCAAAUAGCAGGAAUAAACACAGACAUGAAUUAAUCCUCGAGUUACGUCUGCUUUCAACCGUAACGAAAGCGACUCAACUUUUCAAUUUAGUAAUCGAGAAAUUCCGAAGGGAGAACUAGUGCAUUGUUCGAAACUCAGUGGAUAAUGAGCUCGUCCCUAUACCCUUCUCUACUUAAUACCACACUUUUGUCUCUGACAGGUUUCGAACACAUGAUGGGCAAAGUGACAUUACUUGUAUCAUAAAAUUAUUCAUGAAAGAGCAUUUUGAUUUUAAUCGCUAAUUCAAUGGUAGAAGAUAAUUUCUCUAUUCAUGAAUAUGGAAGGAAUUUAUACCGUUACAAGAAAUCUAUCUAAGCAAAGAAAUCAAAACAACUGAAAGAGAAUAUUAGAAGAUCUGCUACAUGUAUUGAUCUAGUAUAUGUAUUUAGACUAUAUUUACAGCUAAUAUUCUAUAAUACUCCCCCUAGAGUUGGAGCGUAGAUGUUGACCAUGCCCAACUUGUUCCAAAGAUAAUUAACUUGAAUUCUAUUAGCGCUUUGUGAAUAACAUCAGUCGGUUGC